rnacentral:rRNA from 1 species
GACGAACGCUGGCGGCGUGCUUAACACAUGCAAGUCGAGCGGUAAGGCCCUUUCGGGGAUACACGAGCGGCGAACGGGUGAGUAACACGUGGGUGACCUGCCCUCAGCUCUGGGAUAAGCCUGGGAAACCGGGUCUAAUACUGGAUAUGACUCCAUGACGCAUGUUGUGGGGUGGAAAGCCUUGUGCGGCUGAGGAUGGGCCCGCGGCCUAUCAGCUUGUUGGUGGGGUGAUGGCCUACCAAGGCGACGACGGGUAGCCGGCCUGAGAGGGCGACCGGCCACACUGGGACUGAGACACGGCCCAGACUCCUACGGGAGGCAGCAGUGGGGAAUCUUGCGCAAUGGGCGAAAGCCUGACGCAGCGACGCCGCGUGAGGGAUGACGGCCU